AGAGAAAAUACGGAAAUUUUUUAUUUGUUUUUGUACAUACCUGUGGUGUGUCUCAGACUUACUUCAAAGGAAGAGGUAAAAAGGUUGAAGGGAGAGGUACAGAGAGAGAGAGAGAGGGAGAGGGAG